rnacentral:rRNA from 1 species
GACAGAGGGGGCAAGCGUUGCUCGGAAUUACUGGGCGUAAAGGGCGCGUAGGCGGGAUGGCAAGUCGGUCGUGAAAUCCCUCAGCUCAACUGAGGAUCGUCGAUCGAUACUGCCGUUCUUGAGGAUUGCAGAGGAGACUGGAAUUCCCGGUGUAGCGGUGAAAUGUGUAGAGAUCGGGAGGAACACCGGUGGCGAAGGCGGGUCUCUGGGCAAUUCCUGACGCUGAGGCGCGAAAGCGUGGGGAGCAAACGGG